AAAUUAAUUAAACACUCAUUUUGGGAGUGAAAUUUGGUAGUGAAAUUUGUUUAGAUUUCAAUUAUAAAAAGUUUGUAAUUUUUCUUUAUUUAAAUUUUUUUUUUUAACUAAGUGAGCCAGUGAGCCAACCGUUUACCUAACAACCCUGGUGGAUUGAGUCGGGUUCAAAUUUUUCUAACUCGCUAAUAAGGGAGUUGUUCCCUCCACCUCCCCAAUUGCCUCCUCCAUCUCCCCAAUUUUUCCCAUUUUUUCUUUAAUUACAAAAAUGUCCUUUUCUUUUACCUUUUUACUCUUUUUCAUUUUUAUUUUUAACAUUAUUUACCCAACCCUAAAUAUUCACCUUUACUCUCCUGACAGCCACCCCCCAAAACAUUUUUGAGAAAUGCCUCUUUCUCUCACUUCCGUCACUUUGUCCUCUCUUCUUCCCAC
rnacentral:lncRNA from 1 species